AUUGAACGCCGGCGGCAGGCCUAACACAUGCAAGUCGAGCGGAUGAAGGGAGCUUGCUCCUGGAUUCAGCGGCGGACGGGUGAGUAAUGCCUAGGAAUCUGCCUGGUAGUGGGGGAUAACGUCCGGAAACGGGCGCUAAUACCGCAUACGUCCUGAGGGAGAAAGUGGGGGAUCUUCGCACCUCACGCUAUCAGAUGAGCCUAGGUCGGAUUAGCUAGUUGGUGGGGUAAAGGCCUACCAAGGCGACGAUCCGUAACUGGUCUGAGAGGAUGAUCAGUCACACUGGAACUGAGACACGGUCCAGACUCCUACGGGAGGCAGCAGUGGGGAAUAUUGGACAAUGGGCGAAAGCCUGAUCCAGCCAUGCCGCGUGUGUGAAGAAGGUCUUCGGAUUGUAAAGCACUUUAAGUUGGGAGGAAGGGCAGUAAGUUAAUACCUUGCUGUUUUGACGUUACCAACAGAAUAAGCACCGGCUAACUUCGUG
rnacentral:rRNA from 1 species